rnacentral:rRNA from 1 species
UACGUAGGGGGCAAGCGUUGUCCGGAUUUAUUGGGCGUAAAGAGCGUGUAGGCGGCCAUACAGGUCAGCUGUGAAAACUCGAGGCUCAACCUCGAGACGUCGGUUGAAACCGUAUGGCUAGAGUCCGGAAGAGGAGAGUGGAAUUCCCGGUGUAGCGGUGAAAUGCGCAGAUAUCGGGAAGAACACCCGUGGCGAAGGCGGCUCUCUGGAACGCAACUGACGCUGAGACGCGAAAGCGUGGGGAGCAAACAGG